ACCGCGAUAGGCCAAGGUUUCUGGAAUGGACACUGGCUGAAACCUAUAUGGCCCCUGGAUUGGACUGCGGCCGAUCAGGCUGUUGGUGAGGUAAUGGCCCACCAAACCUGUAACCGGUACGGGCUUUGAGAGAAGGAGCCCGGAGAUGGGCACUGAGACAAGGGCCCAGGCCCUAUGGGGCGCAGCAGGCGCGAAAAUUCUGCAAUAAGCGAAAGCUUGACAGAGUUACUCUGAGUGAUGCCCGCUAAGGGCAUCUUUUGGCACCUCUAAAAAUGGUGCAGAAUAAGGGGUGGGCAAGUCUGGUGUCAGCCGCCGCGGUAAUACCAGCACCCCGAGUGGUCGGGACGAUUAUUGGGCCUAAAGCAUCCGUAGCUUGUUCUGCAAGUCUUCCGUUAAAUCCACCUGCUCAACAGAUGGGCUGCGGGAGAUACUACAGGGCUAGGAGGCGGGAGAGGCAAGCGGUACUCAGUGGGUAGGGGUAAAAUCCUCUGAUCCACUGAAGACCACCAGUGGCGAAGGCGGCUUGCCAGAACGCGCUCGACGGUGAGGGAUGAAAGCUGGGGGAGCAAACCGGAUUAGAUACCCGGGUAGUCCCAGCUGUAAACGAUGCAGACUCGGUGAUGGGUUGGCUUU
rnacentral:rRNA from 1 species